rnacentral:lncRNA from 1 species
UGUGCCAGGCUCUGCACAAAGCUCUUGGUACUCAGUAACUGUUACCACCCAGGAGGUAGAUUCUGUUACUAUCUCAUUCUGCAGAUAGAGACACUAAGGUCAGUGGAGAUGAUAGAGAGUUUCCACAGUCUCUCAGCUGGGAAGUGGCAGGGCUGGGCCUGGAACCAUCUCUGUGCAACUUCAAAACCUGUGUUAGCAACCCCUGGGCUGUGGGGCAUCAUGAAUGCAUAUGUUCCUGCUACACCCUGGGCUCACAGGAAGGUGGGGCCAUGCCCUUUCAACUCCACCUCUCUCAUGGUGGUUGGCAAUGCUCUGUGUGGAGUAGUGCUCAAUAAAUGCUUUUGGACUGGAUGAUUGGGACAGUGAACUAUGCAUAGAAUUCACAGGCAGUGGGAAGGCUCUAGGAGCUGAGCACAGGGGACAAAAGGGUAAGGAGACUUGGAGACUCCAGGCUUCUUAGUGGAGGGUGCACUCAAAGCAGGCUGGGAAGGCUCUGACCUGUCCACAUUAGGAGGAUGGCUGCCCUUGGAGGCUGACUGCUGGGGCCUACUACCCUGUGAGUCGCUGACACUGCUUGGGGUAUGGAUGCGAAGCAGGGUUUGGGCACAGGGUGGGGGCUCAUUCUGGUCAAACUUCUAGGCAUAAAAUCUUUGGGACAAGGGACUGCCUAUGGGACCGAAAUGCAUUCUUAGGGCAGCCAGAGCAAGAGUCUUUAGCCAUAGGCUUUCUGGUCUUGGGGCCCCACUGUAGCUCAGAAAGGGUUAAUCAUAGUCUGUGGCUCAGAUUUGGAAUGGGAGGAGAAGGACAUGGGAUGCAAAAAUAAAUGCCAUUUACAAUCCUAAGAGCCACAGUGUUUGUUGAGCACGUACUGGGUGUCAGGUAUGUGCCAUGUCAUCUGUAAUUGUGAUCACAACCCCAUUUUGUGGUCUUGUCUCAGCCCUGCACAGUGACCUUGGUUCGGUCAUCACUCCCUCUGAGCCUUUUUCUCUCUCAGUAAAACCUGGGACUCGCCUCACCCACUGUAGGGGUUCCAGUGUUGGAGACAUCUUUGGAAUGAAUGGGAUGUGGCAGUUUCUGGUAGGACUGGUCAGCAUGGCCCUCUGUGUGGGGCACUUCUGGUCUGAGGGCCAGCCUUGACCCCCUGGGCAGCCUCAGUGGAGGAAGCUAAGAGCCCGAGCCAGGCAAUGGGGUCCAUGAGGGCCUGGAACCACAGCUGUGAGUUCUGAUCUCUGCAUCACUGAUUACAAGCUGUGUCACCUUGGUGAGUCGCUUCACUGUGUGGACUUCAGUUACCUCAUCUGGAAAAUGAGAAUAUUCCCAGCAGUAGCCUCAGAACUCAGGAUGAUUCCAUGCAGACUAAGUGAAACCCCACUUCAAGUCCUAAGCCCAGUGUCCAGGACACAGGGACGGCUCCAUUAGUGGUCUCUGCUGUUCAUUCUGUUGUUGGUAUCUUUGGAGGUGUCAUUAGAGCUGUUGGCCGAAACUUCCAGUUCCUCAACCUCCCAAGGCCGUGGUAGGAUCAUGCUUCCUGGACGGCUUGCGGUGGGUCGGGUCACAUGACCAGGUCUGCCCAGUGACCUGCACAGCUCUUCCAGGCCGAGCAUUUCACUGCCGAGGGCGACAUGCCAGGACACUCUUUCCCUCUGACAGCCCGAAGUGGGAACGCUUAGUGAGCAGGAGCCUCCCCACCGGGGAGGAUGUGUGGUGUGAACGAGAAAUAAAUUUUUGUUGUUUUAAGCUCUUGAGAUUUGGCGGUUUUGUUGUAGCAAGAUAGCCUCACCUAGACUGACUGAUAAGACUACCGACGUCAUCGUUAUCACCCAGAUGCCCCCCACACCAGGGGUCCCCACAAGAGAACCAUGAGCGUAGAGGAGGCCUGCCCAAAAAAUACAACUUCAUUGUUGACCUACUUCGAGAAUCAUUCCACUCAGACUCUCACUCAUUUAUUCACCUUCUUGCUAAUUUGUUGGCAUCAUUCAUUCAUUCAUUCAUUCAUUUGUCAAAAGUCUCUUGAGCACCUGUUUCAGAAACCCAGGGGGAGGUAGCCAUUGUUCUGCAGAGCUGCUUCAGGUGGCCCUUGGGGGACCGGGCCAGCCUC